UUCUUUUUCAUAAUUUGAAAACUUCUUUUAAUUUUAUCUUUCAAGUGUUGAGCUGGCAUUUGAGGUCCUUCCAAAGAUAUUCAAUAGAAUUAAGAUAAAAAAACUGAGCAAGCCAAUCCAUUACUUUUAUUCUAUGAUAAUCACUUCCAUUCUAGUUUUGAGUUAUAUUUGGAAUUGUUAUCUUGUUGAAAAAUCACCUCUUCUUCAAAAAUGCUAAAUUCUUCAAGGAUAGGAAGUAGGUUUUUUUCAAGAAUUUCUACAAAUUACUUGGAAUUCAUCCUCUUUUCAAACUUUGCCAUCUCCUCAACUUUAUUCUAUUCCAUAUAAUCUUAUAUCAUUAUAUUUCCACUUCCAUGCUUAGUUGUUUUUUGGAUCUUCUUGUCAAGCAAGGACUAAUCUUUUUGUUUCUACACCCAGUUUGUGCAAUCUAAUCCAAAUGUGUUGAUUUUUGUCUCAUGUGACUGUGAUUGUCAUUUUACUUAUUCUGAAAGAAACUUCAUAGAAUAAACCUAUAUAGGGGAAUUUGAACACAUAGAAAGACCAUGUAUAUGAGCUCCAAUUGUUAGGAUCACACAAUUAACUGCUACUACUGAAUGCUUACAAUACCGGAGAACACUUAACUUUUCCUCCU
rnacentral:lncRNA from 1 species